GUGUUGACAGUGAUAGCGGUGAUGAUGGUGUUGGUGUUGACAGUGAUAGCGGUGAUGAUGGUGAUGGUGUUGACAGUGAUAGUGGUGAUGGUGUUGACAGUGAUAGCGGUGAUGAUGGUGUUGGUGGUGACAGUGAUAGUGGUGAUGGUGUUGACAGUGAUAGCGGUGAUGAUGGUGAUGGUGUUGACAGUGAUAGUGGUGAUGGUGUUGACAGUGAUAGCGGUGAUGAUGGUGUUGGUGGUGACAGUGAUAGUGGUGAUGGUGUUGACAGUGAUAGCGGUGAUGAUGGUGUUGGUGUUGACAGUGAUAGCGGUGAUGAUGGUGUUGGUGACAGCGAUAGUGCUGAUGGUGUUGACAGUGAUAGCGGUGAUGAUGGUGUUGGUGUUGACAGUGAUAGUGGUGAUGGUGUUGACCGUGAUUGCGGUGAUGAUGGUGUUGGUAGUGCUGGCGGUGCUGAUAGUGAUGGCAGUGAUGAUGUUGACAGACAGUGAUAGCGGUGAUGAUAGUGUUGAUGGUGUUUGUGUCGAUAGUGCUGGCAGUGCUGAUCUUGGUGUUGAUAGUGCUGGCGGUGCUGCUAGUAUUGGUGAUAUUAAUACUGGCUAAUAGUUUCUAGUAUUGGAUGUUGCUAGGAAUUGGUGAUGUUGCUAGGAAUUGGCGAUAGUAUUGGCGAUGCUAGGAAUUGGCGAUGGUAUUGGCGAUGUUGCUAGGAAUUGGCGAUGUUGCUAGUAUUGGUAGCGUUAGUGAUGUUUGUAAUAUUAGAAAUGCCGCUCGUGUGUGGACAAUGUUCCUAGUGUUAGUGACCAUGUUAUUGUUGGCAAUGUGCCUAGUAUUGGGUGUUGCUAACAUCGGUGAUAUUGCUAGUGUUUGCGAAGUUGCUAAAACAAACAAACUGCAAAAGCUUGAAGAAAUUGGUCCACUUCUCGUUUAAAGACGCGUCUCCUGCGGAGCAGAAAUGGAAAACUCGAAAAGCCCUUACCCCAGUGUAACCAGACAGACCAGUGGAGCUCGACUGGCUUUUUUUUUUUUUUUUUUUUUUAAUAAACUGUGCCACUCAGGUCUUGUUGUGAUACAUUUGAGGUGGUCAAUGCAUGAACACAGCAGAAAAGAUUAGAAUGGAUUUUUAACUAAAACCGUUGAUGGGCUUUCGACCCUGGACUCUCACCUUCAUUUACUCUGCGCUAAUUUGAUACGCAAACACUGUUUACUGUUCAGGAAGAGCAUCUUUCUAGGCACAAAGCCGGUGAAGUGGAAGUGUGUGAGACGCAAACUAGUUACAAUGGCAAAAAGUUAGUGAGAGAAACACAUACAGACACAGAGGAGGGGGGAGAGAGAGAGAGUGAGAGAGAGAGAG
ensembl:lncRNA